AUUGAACGCUGGCGGCAUGGUUAAAGCAUGCAAGUCGAACGCGAAAGGGACUUCGGUCCCCGGUAGAGUGGCGAAAGGGCGAGUAAUGCGUUUCUAACGUACCUCAAGGCCAGGGAUAGCCAGGGGAAACCCGGGGUAAUACCUGAUAAUCCCAGGAAGUCGUAUGUCUUCCUGGGCAAAGGCUUGCCACCUUGAGAGCGGGAAACGUGCUAUCAGCUAGUUGGUGAGGUAAUGGCUCACCAAGGCUUAGACGGCUAGCGGGUGUGAGAGCACGACCCGCCGCAUCGGGACUGAGACACUGCCCGGACUCCUACGGGAGGCUGCAGCGACGAAUAUUCCGCAAUGGGCGCAAGCCUGACGGAGCAAUGCCGCGUGUGGGAUGAAGCAUCUCGGUGUGUAAACCACUGUCAGGGGUCACCAACUCAAUGAGGAGCCCCAAGGGAAGGGCCGGGCUAACUCUGUGCCAGCAGCCGCGGGUAAU
rnacentral:rRNA from 1 species